rnacentral:rRNA from 1 species
GUAGGGAAUCUUCCACAAUGGACGAAAGUCUGAUGGAGCAACGCCGCGUGAGUGAUGAAGGUUUUCGGAUCGUAAAACUCUGUUGUAAGGGAAGAACACGUACGAGAGGGAAUGCUCGUACCUUGACGGUACCUUACGAGAAAGCCACGGCUAACUACGUGCCAGCAGCCGCGGUAAUACGUAGGUGGCAAGCGUUGUCCGGAAUUAUUGGGCGUAAAGCGCGCGCAGGCGGCCUUUUAAGUCUGAUGUGAAAGCCCCCGGCUCAACCGGGGAGGGCCAUUGGAAACUGGAAGGCUUGAGUACAGAAGAGAAGAGUGGAAUUCCACGUGUAGCGGUGAAAUGCGUAGAGAUGUGGAGGAACACCAGUGGCGAAGGCGACUCUUUGGUCUGUAACUGACGCUGAGGCGCGAAAGCGUGGGGAGCAAACAGG